rnacentral:lncRNA from 1 species
CGACGGUGAAGCUCAGCGGAGCUUUGGCCGGCGGAGGAGGCUGGGAGGAGGUCUGGCGGAGCGGAGCAGAGAGUGCGGACCGCUGGGCAUAGCUAGCGGUGGUGUGCCGCUGAUGGAGAUCGGCGGAUGAGUUGCUCAGCGAACGUUCCGGCGGAGCCCCGGGACACCAGCGGGGGUUACUGAUGCUCCGGCAAGGUUGUGAGCACCUGGAGCUGGCAGAGGAUGAUGCUCGACGGUAGCUGGCGGUAUUGAUGCCGGUCUAGCUGAGAAGUCCGGCGGAGCCUUGGAGUGCAGCGGACCGGAGCUCAGCGGAGGCCUGGUUCGAUGGUUGGCCGCCAUGAUUGGAGCUCGGAAGCCGCUUGAUGGAAGGUCGGCGGUGCAAGGUCGGCGGUGAUCUACUGCCGGAGACGCUGAGGCGGGUCUGGAGAUCGGCGGAUGAUCCAAGUGUGGCGGAGACGCCGGGUAAAUCGUAGCACUUGGCCAGCGAGGGUGUUCGCCGGCGAAGGAGGUUGGGCGGUGGUUCCCCAGCGGAGCGGAGAGGAGAUCUCGUUCAGCGGGUAGUUUGCAGCUAUGAUGCAGUGGCGGUAAGUGACCGCUGACUGGUUCACUGAUCACCUUCAGGAUACUCAACUAAAACCGCUGGCGGUGCUUCUUGACGUUGAUAGCCAGCGGUGGCCCUUGGUCAGCGGCUCGUGUGGUCAGCGAGUAUGCGCGCAGUGGUGACCAACUUUGCACCCAGUGGAGCAUGCUCAGCGGGUAUGGCGGAGCGGGGGAGUUCGGCGGAUGAAGAAGUCCGGCGGUGGCCUCCUGUGGUGUUUGGAACUCAGCGGAGGACCUGGUUCGCAACGGUGGUUGUCGUCUGGCGGAAACCACGGAGCUCAGCGGGGAACUGGAGCUAGGUUGGGCGGAGCUAUUCCCGGAGGAGCACCGGAGCUGCAGAGCUCGGGGCUGGUGAGCGGAAGUCCCCGGCGUGGGCGACCGCAGUUUGGCGGAACUCGGAGUUGCCGAGCAGGAGCGCUGCUUGUGGCUGGCGGGAACUUUGAAAAUUGGAGGGGUGCCCAGAGAAGAUUUCUGGGUGUCCAGAGAAAAUUUGGCCGCCCAGUUUUUUUUUUUUUUUUGCAGUCAGCGUUGACUUUUGUGAGUUGGGCGUUGACCGACCCCGCCGAGCGUUGACUAACUCCGCCAGGCGUUGACUAAUUCCGCCGGGCGUUGACCGAGCUAUGUUGGGCGUUGACUUGCCCCGCCGGGCGUUGACCAAGCUAGCCCGGCGUUGACCGGCUCCGCUGGGCGUUGACCGGC